rnacentral:lncRNA from 1 species
CGCAGCCUGGGGCCGGCGCCACUGAGCUCACAUGUCACCACCCCCCUACAUACCAGAGACCCUCUGGGCCAGCCUCGGAUGCACACAGGAUGGUGAUCUCCCAGAAUUCCAGGAGCUGUGGUGCUGGGGGAGCAGGCCUGCUGGGGGUCCCCUUCUUUUCGGAGAGCUGGCUGCCGCUUCUUGUUUUCAUUGGCUGGGCUUCUGGCUCAGGUCUGCAGGCAAACAGGCAAGAAUGCAGAGAUGCUUCCUCCUGGGAGACAGGACCUGUGCGGUUUAUCAGGACCCUCUGGGCGCUCACCCACGGCCAAGCUCCUCCCACGGCCAGUACUGACCACACUCCUGUCCUCGGCACAGUUCCAGCUGGUUGUCUGUCUCAGAAGAUCCUGUUGAGCUGCAGGCCGGGAGAGCCCGUGGUGUCAUUCAGUCCAAACCUGAAGGCCUGAGAACCAGGGGAGCUGAUGUCCGAGAGCAGGAGAGGACAUCUCAGUUCAAGCAGAGAUGGGGGCCCACCGCCUGCAGGAGGGCCGGCUGCUUUUCUCAGUCCGCUGGUUCAGAUCAGUCGAUUGCUUCUGGAAACACCUGCACAGACACACACAGAAAUAAUUUUUUACCAGCUCUCUGAGCAGCCCUCAGCCCAGUCAGAGGACCCAUAAAAUUUGCCAUCACAGUGGGAUUCUGUUCUUUGCGGCCAAAUGAUCCUGAAUGAGAGAGACUUCCCAGCACUGCCCGUGCCAGGAGGUUUCUAAUCUUUGAGGAUUUGAUACAGGAAAAGUAGUACUCAGUAUGUUUUAAUUUGCAUUUUCGUAAUUUUUAGUGAGAUCAACAUUUUUGCCUAUGUUUAUUGGCCACUUAAUGUUUCUUCUUUUGUGAAUUGCCCGAUUCUGUCUCCUAGCUCACUUUGAAAAAG